UGGGGAAUAUUGGACAAUGGGCGAAAGCCUGAUCCAGCCAUGCCGCGUGUGUGAAGAAGGUCUUCGGAUUGUAAAGCACUUUAAGUUGGGAGGAAGGGCAGUAAGCGAAUACCUUGCUGUUUUUACGUUACCGACAGAAUAAGCACCGGCUAACUCUGUGCCAGCAGCCGCGGUAAUACAGAGGGUGCAAGCGUUAAUCGGAAUUACUGGGCGUAAAGCGCGCGUAGGUGGUUCGUUAAGUUGAAUGUGAAAGCCCCGGGCUCAACCUGGGAACUGCAUCCAAAACUGGCGAGCUAGAGUAGGGCAGAGGGUGGUGGAAUUUCCUGUGUAGCGGUGAAAUGCAUAGAUAUAGGAAGGAACACCAGUGGCGAAGGCGACCACCUGGGCUCAUACUGACACUAAGGUGCGAAAGCGUGGGGAGCAAACAGG
rnacentral:rRNA from 1 species